rnacentral:rRNA from 1 species
CCCAGACUCCUACGGGAGGCAGCAGUGGGGGAUAUUGCACAAUGGGGGGAACCCUGAUGCAGCGACGCCGCGUGGGUGAAGGAGCGUUUCGGCGCGUAAAGCCCUAUCGGCAGGGAAGAAGGAGGACGGUACCUGACUAAGAAGCCCCGGCUAACUACGUGCCAGCAGCCGCGGUAAUACGUAGGGGGCAAGCGUUAUCCGGAUUUACUGGGUGUAAAGGGGGCGCAGACGGCAGCGCAAGCCAGGAGUGAAAGCCCGGGGCCCAACCCCGGGACUGCUCUUGGAACUGCGCGGCUGGAGUGCAGGAGGGGCAGGCGGAAUUCCUGGUGUAGCGGUGAAAUGCGUAGAUAUCAGGAGGAACACCGGUGGCGAAGGCGGCCUGCUGGACUGCGACUGACGUUGAGGCUCGAAAGCGUGGGGAGCAAACAGGAUUAGAUACCCUAGUA